CACUGCUUUACUGAUCUGUACUAACUUCUGCUAUUCAAAUUGAUUUAGAUUCUAACUUGCCUAGAAGAGACUCUAAACAGUUCUCAACAAGACAUCUCACUUUGAUGAUACACUGGGAAUAUCAGGAACACCUGGGAAUGUCUUCUUAUAUGUGUAUUUGAGCUGAUGAUCUCACGUCAAAUGUGAAACAACCAAAAUAUAGAUGAUAUUCUCAAUGGAGGAGACUCCCACAGAAAGUUUUUCAUCAAGGACUUCAAUGAAUGUCAGGAGAGAAAAGAAAAAGAAACCAAUGGCAUAUGAUCUGCUUCUUUACCAAUUAAGUAUGGGCCAGAGUCUGCAUUCAAAUACCAUUGUAAGAGAGAGGGUAGAAAAGGUAAAUAUUUAAUAAGGUUUCCUGUCCUUUCUCUUUGUCAUUCAUGUAUUUAUAUAGAAAACAGUAAUUAGUGUAAGUGCAAAAUUACCUAAUCUGUAGUUCCCUAGGCCCUCUAGUUAUUCCUUUUUAUAAGAUUAGCUGUAAAUUGCUCCAGAAUAUGAAUGAAUGAGCCACCAUUUCCUGUAUUUGUAAAUGUGCUUGACUUGGAAUUUGCAUUUUUUUUUCAACAUAUAUCAAAUGUAUGCUUUCAUUAUUUUUGUAGAGAAAAUUCUCUUUUCUACUACCUCAAUAUUUGGCCUAAUUAUGUAUGUAUUUCUUUCAUUUUGAUUUCAGAAUGUAUUUUUAUUCUG